GACGAACGCUGGCGGCGCGCUUAACACAUGCAAGUCGAACGGAAAGGCCUGCUUUCCCUUGUGGAUUGCGGGUACUCGAGUGGCGAACGGGUGAGUAACACGUGAGUGAUCUGCCCCCAACUUGGGUAUAAGCCUGGGAAACUGGGUCUAAUUCCCGAUAGGACUGCAGGGUGGUGCCUGUGGUGGAAAACGAUUUUCUAGUGGUUGGGGAUGAGCUCGCGGCCUAUCAGCUUGUUGGUGGGGUAAUGGCCUACCAAGGCGGCGACGGGUAGCCGGCCUGAGAGGGUGGACGGCCACAGUGGAACUGAGAUACGGCCCAGACGCCUACGGGAGGCAGCAGUGGGGAAUAUUGCACAAUGGGCGGAAGCCUGAUGCAGCGACGCCGCGUGGGGGAUGACGGCCUUCGGGUGGUAAACUCCUUUCGGCCGCGAGGAAGCCACCUGGUUGGAAGGGUGGUGACGGUAGUGGUAGAAGAAGCACCGGCUAACUACGUG
rnacentral:rRNA from 1 species